GGGGAAUAUUGCACAAUGGGCGCAAGCCUGAUGCAGCCAUGCCGCGUGUAUGAAGAAGGCCUUCGGGUUGUAAAGUACUUUCAGCAGUGAGGAAGGAGGCAUCGUUAAUAGCGGUAUCUUUUGACGUUAGCUGCAGAAGAAGCACCGGCUAACUCCGUGCCAGCAGCCGCGGUAAUACGGAGGGUGCGAGCGUUAAUCGGAAUUACUGGGCGUAAAGCGCAUGCAGGUGGUUUGUUAAGUCAGAUGUGAAAGCCCGGGGCUCAACCUCGGAAUUGCAUUUGAAACUGGCAGGCUAGAGUACUGUAGAGGGGGGUAGAAUUUCAGGUGUAGCGGUGAAAUGCGUAGAGAUCUGAAGGAAUACCGGUGGCGAAGGCGGCCCCCUGGACAGAUACUGACACUCAGAUGCGAAAGCGUGGGGAGCAAACA
rnacentral:rRNA from 1 species